rnacentral:rRNA from 1 species
GAAUUGUUCGCAAUGGGCGCAAGCCUGACGACGCAACGCCGCGUGGAGGAUGAAGGUCUUCGGAUUGUAAACUCCUGUUGCCCGGGACGAAUGGCUCCAACCUAAUACGUUGGAGUGUGACGGUACCGGGUGAGGAAGCCCCGGCUACCCCUGCGCCCGCAGCCGCGGGAAUACAGAGGGGGCAAGCGUUGUUCGGAAGUCCUGGGCGUAAAGGGCGCGUAGGCGGCCUGCUAAGUCGAACGUGAAAUCCCUGGGCUCAACCCAGGAACUGCGUCCGAUACUGGUUGGCUUGAAUCCGGGAGAGGGAUGUGGAAUUCCAGGUGUAGCGGUGAAAUGCGUAGAUAUCUGGAGGAACACCGGUGGCGAAGGCGACAUCCUGGACCGGCAUUGACGCUGAGGCGCGAAAGCCAGGGGAGCAAACGGG